AGCGAACGCUGGCGGCAGGCUUAACACAUGCAAGUCGAACGCCAUCUUCGGAUGGAGUGGCAGACGGGUGAGUAACGCGUGGGAACGUACCUUUUGGUUCGGAAUAUUCUCGGGAAACUGAGAGCAAUACCGAAUAAGCCCUUAGGGGGAAAGAUUUAUUGCCAAAAGAUCGGCCCGCGUUAGAUUAGGUAGUUGGUAGGGUAAUGGCCUACCAAGCCUACGAUCUAUAGCUGGUCUGAGAGGAUGAUCAGCCACAUUGGGACUGAGACACGGCCCAAACUCCUACGGGAGGCAGCAGUGGGGAAUAUUGGACAAUGGGCGCAAGCCUGAUCCAGCCAUGCCGCGUGAAUGAUGAAGGCCUUAGGGUUGUAAAAUUCUUUCAACGGGGACGAUAAUGACGGUACCCGUAGAAGAAGCCCCGGCUAACUUCGUGCCAGCCGCCGCCGUAA
rnacentral:rRNA from 1 species